GUGAGGACUCGGGAGGUGGAGGGCGGCGUCGCCAGGGCCGGGCGCCGUCUCAGCCCGCUCGUCCCCCACCUCCUCUCUCCUCAG
rnacentral:pre_miRNA from 3 species